GGUUUUAUAGUCUAUAAAGAUUUUAAAUUGCAAGUUUAAAGAUGGGAUUUUCCUAAAACUU
rnacentral:tRNA from 1 species